rnacentral:lncRNA from 1 species
GAUCAUCCUAUCUACUGGACUAUACACACAAGUAAUUAAGGUCAUAUACAAGAAACAACACCAAAAAUAGCCAAACCAGACAAUCAAGAAAAAAAUUUGCGUCCAUAGAUAGUAGGUGUCGGUCUGCGACUACACCACUUCUACCUUGGUGAAGAUAACCGUACACCUCCACUUGAUGUCGAUCAACAACUAUCGAUGGUUCUGGUGGCAGCUGUACGCACUAAAAUAUAAAAAGUUGAAGAUUUACAUAAGGAUAUAUGAAAAGUCGUAUAAAGGUUUAAUAUACACUAUACCUACUAAAGUAAGAGGUGAACGGUUUGAUUCUUCAUUAUGCAAUAUUUGCACGCACUUAAAUAAUUUCUUGGGUUCGCCACUGCACACAGCCACAACAACGUCCUAAAAGCCACUAACACGCUUUGAUGUCCUUCUCCUUCCAUUGUAAUAACCAAAACCCAACCCUCUUUCUCCUCAAACCUCACACUAGCCUCCUCUUUUUCUUCUCGAACCACAAGAAGCUAACUUUAUCUUUCUCUUAUUUCCCUAGGAACGACAAAUCACAACUAGGAAAAGAACGAGACAUUUUUUCGAGUUUAAAAGGAAAAACUAGGGUUUCCUACUCAAACCAACUAAACAGGGCUACUAAACUUAACUUACCAAUCCAACCUACCU